UACGGAGGGUGCGAGCGUUGUCCGGAAUCACUGGGCGUAAAGGGCGCGUAGGCGGCGCGGCAAGUCUGUGGUGAAAGCUCGUGGCUCAACUGCGAGUCGGCCAUGGAUACUGCUGCGCUCGAGCACUGUAGAGGCAGGUGGAAUUCCGGGUGUAGCGGUGGAAUGCGUAGAGAUCCGGAAGAACACCGGUGGCGAAGGCGGCCUGCUGGGCAGUAGCUGACGCUGAGGCGCGACAGCGUGGGGAGCAAACAGG
rnacentral:rRNA from 1 species